CCAGAAGGGCAAUGUUGGAAUUGGUUUUCCUAUAUACAGUAGUAUCCAGUUCACCCAUCUCAUUUUUAGUGAUAGAGACGUCCAGAAAGGGUAGAGAUAUGGAGUCAGACUCACAAGUGAAACGUAGACCAAUCUGAUUGUGAUUGAGCCC